GGGGACGCGGCCAGGACUCACUCCUCUGCUCCCUUCCUAUUGGGCACGGACCCCUGGUCCCGCCCCUUCCAGGCUAAUAAGCGAUUUGUUGACACAAGGGUAGACCAUGCUGACAACUGGGAAGAUACUACCUCAUACGUGAUGGCUCCAGCUAAGGGUUUUCUCCUUCUCCACAUCCACUCUACCCUUCUGCCAUGAUCCACACCAGCUAAGCUCCCCAAUUCCUUGUCAAGUCUUGGCAAAGUCACCAAAGCCAAGACUAAAGAAGCUGAGACGCAUUUUAAAGACUGCCUCGUCUGGACUACUCAUUUUGUUUUAAAUGAUAAUGUUGAGAUUUGAAGAGGAGAAAUAAGUUUUUCUAGAUCACAUAACAAAAUUUUGGCAGAGCCAGUACAAGAAACAAGGUCUCCUCACUUCCAGUCCAGUACUCUUCAACGGCAUCCUGUUUUGAUAGGGAUGGGAAAGUUAAGAUGGACAGGGCUGAGGAAGACAGCAGGAUGGGUGUUUCACAAGCCCUUUCAGCUACCUAGAAGCCCAGAUACAAUACCCAAAGGUGAAGCAGAAGAAAUCCUUGAAAAGAAGUAAGCAUUGCAGUAGAAUUUUCCAACCCAACUGACAUCAGAGCCUUUCAGCC
rnacentral:lncRNA from 1 species